GAACUCCUGUUAUUCAGUAGAUGUUUAGAACACCUACUAUGUGCUGGGGACUGUGCUGGGGACUGCGUGCUAGGGAUACAGUCUGGACAAGGUAAGUGACAUGCUGACUGUUUUGCACUUCCAGUGACUCCAGAGGAAGCAGAGCUGGAUGAUGGUUGGAAAAUUCAAGAAGACAUCAUGAGGAGGCAUGUCAGAAUGGAAACGUGGAUUAUUUACAAGGAUUCAGGGGCAGUUCUCCAGAUGGAAGGCUGGUGUUAGGAAAGACGCUGAGGUCAGAAUUGUGAAAUGGGAUUGAAGGCACUGACAACUCUGCAGCAGCACAGACUUUGGGGAGAAGACCUCCAGGCCCCGUAACAAAGCAGAAACCCUCAGAACCAGCAUCUCCCUGGCCGGGUUCAAAGCCUGGCCGAAGACCGUUUGGACACCACCAAUUUUGCCUUCACAGCUGCUGCAGUCAACUUUCCGAGGGCCACUUGGCAUCCCAAGCGUGUUCCUGGAGACCCUAGGAGACAGAAGGAAAAGACAGAUGACU
ensembl:lncRNA